GGAGAGGUACCGAAGUGGCCGUAACGGGGUCGACUCGAAAUCGACUUGUCCUGUGAUGAGCAGGGCACGUGGGUUCGAAUCCCACCCUCUCCGCCA
rnacentral:tRNA from 1 species